CCUACGGGAGGCUGCAGUGAGGAAUAUUGGUCAAUGGACGAGAGUCUGAACCAGCCAAGUAGCGUGAAGGAUGACUGCCCUAUGGGUUGUAAACUUCUUUUAUAUGGGAAUAAAAUGUUCCACGUGUGGGAUUUUGUAUGUACCAUAUGAAUAAGGAUCGGCUAACUCCGUGCCAGCAGCCGCGGUAAUACGGAGGAUCCGAGCGUUAUCCGGAUUUAUUGGGUUUAAAGGGAGCGUAGGUGGAUUGUUAAGUCAGGUGUGAAAGUUUGCGGCUCAACCGUAAAAUUGCAGUUGAAACUGGCAGGCUUGAGGACAGUAGAGGUGGGCGGAAUUCGUGGUGUAGCGGUGAAAUGCUUAGAUAUCACGAAGAACUCCGAUUGCGAAGGCAGCUCACUGGACUGCAACUGACACUGAGGCUCGAAAGUGUGGGUAUCAAACAGGAUUAGAUACCCCAGUAGUC
rnacentral:rRNA from 1 species